AGAGUUUGAUCUGGCUCAGAUUGAACGCUGGCGGCAGGCCUAACACAUGCAAGUCGAGCGGAUGAAGGGACUUGCUCCUGGAUUCAGCGGCGGACGGGUGAGUAAUGCCUAGGAAUCUGCCUGGUAGUGGGGGAUAACGUCCGGAAACGGGCGCUAAUACCGCAUACGUCCUGAUUGAGAAAGUGGGGGAUCUUCGGACCUCACGCUAUCAGAUGAGCCUAGGUCGGAUUAGCUAGUUGGUAGGAGUAAAGGCCUACCAAGGCGACGAUCCGUUACUGGUCUGAGAGGAUUUCAGUCACACUGGAACUGAGACACGGUCCAGACUUCCUACGGGAGGCAGCAGUGGGGAAUAUUGGACAAUGGGCGAAUGCCUGAUCCAGCCAUGCCGCGUGUGUGAAGAAGGUCUUCGGAUUGUAAAGCACUUUAAGUUGGGAGGAAGGGCAGUAAGUUAAUACCUUGCUGUUUUGACGUUACCAACAGAAUAAGCUCCGGCUAACUUCGUGCCAGCAGCCGCGGUAAUACGAAGGGUGCAAGCGUUAAUCGGAAUUACUGGGCGUAAAGCGCGCGUAGGUGGUUCAGCAAGUUGGAUGUGAAAUCCCCGGGCUUAACCUGGGAACUGCAUCCAAAACUUCUGAGCUAGAGUACGGUAGAGGGUGGUGGAAUUUCCUGUGUAGCGGUGAAAUGCGUGAUAUAGGAUGGAACACCAGUGGCGAAUGGCGACCACCUGGACUGAUACUGACACUGAGGUGCGAAAGCGUGGGGAGCAAACAGGAUUAGAUCCCUGGUAGUCCACGCCGUACACGAUGUCGACUAGCCGUUGGGUUCCUUGAGAUCUUAGUGGCGCAGCUAACGCGAUAAGUCGACCGCCUGGGGAGUACGGCUGCAAGGUUAAAACUCAAAUGAAUUGACGGGGGCCCGCACAAGCGGUGGAGCAUGUGGUUUAAUUCGAAGCAACGCGAAGAAUCUUACCUGGCCUUGACAUGCUGAGAACUUUCCAGAGAUGGAUUGGUGCCUUCGGGAACUCAGACACAGGUGC
rnacentral:rRNA from 1 species